GACGAACGCUGGCGGCGUGCUUAACACAUGCAAGUCGAACGGAAAGAGAUGAAAGAGCUUGCUCUUUUAUUAAUUUCAGUGGCAAACGGGUGAGUAACACGUAAACAACCUGCCUUAAGGAUGGGGAUAACAGACGGAAACGACUGCUAAUACCGAAUACGUUCUAAGCAUCGCAUGAUGCAUAGAAGAAAGGGUGGCCUCUACAAGAAAGCUAUCGCCUUAAGAGGGGUUUGCGACUGAUUAGGUAGUUGGUGAGGUAACGGCUCACCAAGCCGACGAUCAGUAGCCGGUCUGAGAGGAUGAACGGCCACACUGGAACUGAGACACGGUCCAGACUCCUACGGGAGGCAGCAGUGGGGAAUCUUCCGCAAUGGACGAAAGUCUGACGGAGCAACGCCGCGUGAACGAAGAAGGUCUUCGGAUUGUAAAGUUCUGUGAUUCGGGACGAAAGGGUUUGUGGUGAAUAAUCAUAGACAUUGACGGUACCGAAAAAGCAAGCCAC
rnacentral:rRNA from 1 species